AUUCCAGAGUGCUGGGAGGUAGAAUCUAUCUGACUUGGACUGAAUUCCAUCCCACCUCAAAGUAUUCCAGGUGAUCCACGUUGAACAGAAACUACAAACAUGGAGAUGGCAGAUCUAAACUCUUGUUUAGUUAGAAGAGGCA